UCGAUGUCGGCUCGUCACAUCCUGGGGCUGGAGAAGGUCCCAAGGGUUGGGCUGUUCGCCCAUUAAAGUGGCACGCGAGCUGGGUUCAGAACGUCGCAAGACAGUUCGGUCUCUAUCUGUUGUGGGCGUGGGAAUAUUGAAGAGGUCUGACACUAGUACGAGAGGACCGUGUUGGACGAACCUCUAGUGUACCAGUUGUGCCGCCAGGUGCAUUGCUGGGUAGCUAUGUUCGGACUGGAUAAGUGCUGAAAGCAUCUAAGCACGAAGCCAUCUCUGAGAUGAGUAUUCCAUUGAGGGUCCCAGUAGACUACUGGGUUGAUAGGCUAUAGGUGGAAGCGCAGUAAUGUGUGUAGCCGAGUAGUACUAAUUACCCGAAAGCUUCCUUUAU
rnacentral:rRNA from 1 species